GCAAGGAGAACCUCUAUAAUUUACUGUGUUUCUCUGUCAUAGGGGAAAAAAGAAUUAAAACACAUAACCUAAACCAAAGCCUAGGAAGGCUGUGGGAGGCUUUCUGUUAAUGUCAGCGUGCACUAGAUCUGAUUGAUAUAUUUCUAAAAUAUAAAACAUUUCACACUGUGUGUUGAAGAGAUUUUGCAAGCAGUGGACAUGUUUAAUGAGACCUUUUAUCCUCUCUUUCCCAGAUUUGCCCUUGAAGAAAAUCCUCAAGCUGAAUGCUGCUGAACUGUGGACAGAGUGAGGGAUACUUCAAAUGUGAUGGAUUGAGGCACACACAUAAUGACCUGUUCCAGUCAGAAAUUGAGACAGUCUCAAAGGAAGCUGCCGGCCACAUCUAUAGAAUGAGACAGGUCGAACAGCUCGGUCCUGAGGCAUUUGCCAUGAUGAUUGUGUGAAGCCAGUACUCUCAUUUAGCCAGCUACUUCAUUUCUGGGGAGGCACAUUUCUUUUCAUCAGACAGAUUUCUCCACGACUGAACAAGCACCAACGAAACGGUAGGCGACAGAGGAAGGCUGUGUGUUUCAGUAGGUAAGGAGCUCACCUGGAGAGGAGGGAUACUGGGGUUCUUCCCUGUCUCUGCCAGUGACUCACUGUGUCCUUGUGUCCUUGUCUUAUUUUCCUCCCCUGUGUAAUGGGUUAAUGAUUUAUUCCUGUAUUUUGGAAGCUCUCUAUAGUCCGAGGAUGCCUGGGGGGCUAUGUGACAAUUUACUGCAAUAAUGAAACAGAUUAGUUGUUAACCACUUCCCAUCGUUUCUCCAGCAAAUGAAGUGUCUGCAAUAGCAGAGCCUUGUUGUAACUGACCCUCUGUUGAGUGCACAGGUAUGGGAAGAUUGCUUAGGUCUCUUGCCCUUCCAAAUCCAUCACUGGCCUUCUUAUGAGAUAACAUAAAUCCCUGUAUUAGACUCAUCAAACAGGGAGGAGCAAUGUUAGGUUUUGAGAAAAUAGUGACAAGAGCAGGUACCAUCAUGAUGGGGGAAAUUCAUCACCUCCUCUCAUAGGGUGACACGUGACUGCUCUCCAGAGCUAUCCUGGAGGAAGUAAGUUGGUUAAAGUACAGUACGUGGUAUCAUUUUUCAAUAAUUAAAUCAUGCAGAUAUGCUGACAUUGUCUGCUGACACUUGGUAGGCCAGUCUAACAGAUCAUCUGUGUAUGGGAUGCCACAACUGCUUGUGCGCUUGCAGUCAUGGCAAGGUUG